GUCCAUGUAGCGCACUGGAUUGCGCAUAGGACUUCUAAUCCUAAGGCCGUGGGUUCGAAUUACACCUGGGAUG